rnacentral:tRNA from 1 species
AGUCGCCAAAUUGUAAAUCAUGGACACAUCUAUGUAAAUGGGAAAAAAGUAACUAUACCAAGU